AUCCUGGCUCAGGAUGAACGCUAGCCGGCAAGGCUUAAACACAUGCAAGUCGAGGGGUAUAGUUCUUCGGAACUAGAGACCGGCGCACGGGUGCGUAACGCGUAUGCAAUCUACCUUUUACAGAGGGAUAGCCCAGAGAAAUUUGGAUUAAUACCUCAUAGUAUGUGAGAAUCGCAUGGUUUCCACAUUAAAGUUCCAACGGUAAAAGAUGAGCAUGCGUCCCAUUAGCUAGAUGGUAAGGUAACGGCUUACCAUGGCGACGAUGGGUAGGGGUCCUGAGAGGGAGAUCCCCCACACUGGUACUGAGACACGGACCAGACUCCUACGGGAGGCAGCAGUGAGGAAUAUUGGACAAUGGGCGCAAGCCUGAUCCAGCCAUGCCGCGUGCAGGAUGACGGUCCUAUGGAUUGUAAACUGCUUUUGUACAGGAAGAAACACUCCCUCGUGAGGGAGCUUGACGGUACUGUAAGAAUAAGGAUCGGCUAACUCCGUG
rnacentral:rRNA from 1 species